GAUGCCAUAGUAUAGUGGUUAGCACACCUGCUUUACACGUAGAAGGUCCUGGGUUCGCACCCUAGGUGGAGCCA
rfam:Pteropus alecto contig21804, whole genome shotgun sequence.